rnacentral:lncRNA from 1 species
CCAGUUUGAAAGCAACAACCUCAGCAGACUGAACAGGAGAUAAGUCAGAGUUCCUGCCAACCAUCAAAGGGUCCUCCAGUCCUUCUUAGGAUUUGAACUGAACAACCUUCAUCUAAAAACACCCAAGUAAUUAUAUAAAGUUUGUUUUGACAAAGACAGAAUCUAUAUGACAAAGCUUCAAGACUGACCCCCCCACAUAGCAGUUUUAACUAACUUAAGACUUCCACUCCACCCUAGGAGUUAUUGUAUGUUUUCCUACAUUUUCUUUUUAAAGAAACUGUUUACAUAUAUCUAUCUCAAUUUUGUCUUUUCGACAAAAUUGUACUGGUGGAAAAGAUCUCAUGACUAAUAUUUCAGGAUCUAUAAUGCUGGUGGAAAUUCACAUUUAAAAACAUUUUCAAAUGGUUUAACCUAGGAGUUCCUUAAGUAUUCUCUCAGACUUACAUUUCUUAAAUCAUGCAUAUAUCUCAAUUAUGGGUGGAAAUUUAAAAAUCACUGACUCAUAGCUAAAUAAAUUGGACAUGUCUGAGCUAAGUACCUUAGUACACAUUAAAAUAAAUUGCUCCACUACAUUGCAUAUGUAACAAAUGUGCAGAUAAUCCAUAUGACAGUGCAGAUUAAGGCGAAACUAUAAAGUGAAACUUUAGGGUGUGACUGCAGAUAACAAGGAGUACCAUGUACAUGUAAAAACAGGCAGUUUUUGAGACAGUUUCCAGAAGAUGCUAAGAAAAUGUAUUAACCCAUCAUUCCAAGCUGAGAGGACAAAUGUUUCAGAGAUGUGCAAGGCCAGCACGGUGUUUCUUUUCCUUAUCUAUUCAAGUACAAGCUAGCUUUUUGGCUACAGAAGACUUAAAAAGACACAAGGAAUUUCUCUACCCUUCAGUCUAUUUCAAAGUAUAAAAUAUUCUUGAUAUUUUGAAAGAAAGAAUCAGGAGUUAAGAAAACUGAAGAUUCUGAAGCAGGGAAGGAGGGGUACCUAGAAAACAAACCAUCCACUUAGAGUUAACACUAUCAGAGACCAUUCUCAGGAGAGAUGAUUCUGGGUCAUUUUAAGGAGUACCAACAUCUAAGCACCAUGGUAAUUGGGGACUUGCAGCUUUCUACAAACAAUAAAACUGUCACUUGCCUUUUAUAGAAACCAGGUCACUAGUAGAAAGGGACAUGUAUAUAUGGAAUCUCUGGUAUUACUAUUCCAGGUGAAUCAGAGAAUAUGCCAAUCACAACACACCCAGUGAAUGGCGGUUGCUCAGAUGUUGUAAACCUGGAAGAUUUAAUGUCCUAACAGGCAGUCCUCCUCCCUGUCUCAGACAAAAAAGAUGCACACCUUUCUCACCAAUUCAAGAAGGAACACAGGAACAACAGUGAAUAAAGCUAAUACUAUUCUAGAAAAAAUCUUGACCCACCUUAAUUUACUAAAGUUAUGAUUUUAAAAUUUGGUUCUUUAACUGUCAAUAAUAACCGAACACAACACACCAGGGAUAAAACGACAAUGAUAUAAUAUGUUAUAGGCCACUCUCCACAAAAGAAGGAACAAAGAUUUCAAACCAAAUCUAAGGAAGGAGAAAAGGAAAAAUAUAAAGCCCCAUAAGAAAACUAUGAGCUUGGAUAGUAUGUAGCAUAACAUUUGACAGAGAAGAAAGAAAACAAACUGUGUGUGGGUUUGGAACAACACCCAGAGGUUAGGCUAUCUCUAUACUAUCAAAUCCCAGAGUACAAACAACAGAGUGAACCUGGAACUGCAAUAUAAGAAAGAAAACAAGCCUAUCAGUCCUGUGGUGUGUGGGAACUCAGGCCUCAACAUCAACACAUGAAUGAGAUCUCUGACAGAAGAGGAAGGAGAAAACGUGAUGUAAAGAAAUCAAUACAUCCAUAUAUACAUGUCCCUUUACAGUAGUGGCCCUGUUUUCUACAAAUAGUAUAUCCACUGGAAACCUGUGAAUCUGGGGGUAACAUUAUGAAUAGUAACAAAAAUGGGGGUGGGGUGCUGGGGAUGUAGCUGAGCAGUAGAAUGCCUUGGGUUCAAUUCCCAGUACAGCAAAUAAAUACAAUGUAUGAACUACACAGCAAUAAAAUUC